ACCUGCCCAGUGAAUCUUUCAACGGCCGCGGUACCCUGACCGUGCUAAGGUAGCGCAAUCACUUGCCCUUUAAUUGGGGGCUAGUAUGAAUGGUCAAACGAGGGUGAAACUGUCUCAUUAAGGCUGUCGUAAAUUAUCCCUCACGUGAAGAGACCUGAAUAUAAUAGAAAGACGAGAAGACCCUAUCAAGCUUCACACCUUCCGGGCCUAUAAAAACCUGCCCACUAAGUGUUUUGUUGGGGCAACACAGGAACUCACUCUUCCUUACCACUACAUUCAUUCAACCAAACAAUCCGAUAUAAUCGAACCAAGAUAAAGCUACUGUAGGGAUAACAGGCUAAUCUGCUUCGAGAGCCCACAUUGACAAGCAGGAUUGGCACCUCGAUGUUGGCUUAAGAACCCUUAUUGGGGCAGCCCCCAAUAAAAGGAGGUUUGUUCAACCUAUAAUAUCUUACAUGAUCU
rnacentral:rRNA from 1 species